GCCUGAGAUAGGUACAGGCUCCCCGUGACCCGAGAAGUUCAGAUAAGUGGUAGAAAAUGAAUGCAUGAAUGAAUUAUUAACAUUAAGGAAGUAGGAAGAAAAACUCACUAAACAGCAUUGAAGUAAAAUUCAAUUCAAAUUUAUUUGUAUAGUGCUUAUUGACUCAAAGCAACUUGACAUUGUCUCAAAGCAACUUUACGGAGACAAUGUCUCUAAAAUAACAUAAAACAAAGGUUAAUAUGAAGAUUAAUAUAAUACAACAAUUAGAUAUAUUUAAAUGUGUUUGUAUUUAUCCCCAAUGAGCAAGUAUGAGGUGACUGUGGGGAGGAAAAACUCCCUUAGUCCAACUUGAGCUGGUUGAUAUCGAGAUGUCUCAGGAUUCAGUCGCUCUCAUUUCUGUGGAGGUCCAACAUCAUCGUACGGAAGACUAUCGGAGCUGGUACAAUCUCUGGAUGCCUCGGGAUGGGUAGAAAGAGAGAAGCAGUGGAGAGGAAUUAACGUAGCUGCUGUUCAUAAUAUUAGCAAGCACUAGAUGAUAAUGUGCAUUUGUUCAGAUGUAUUAGAGCACAAGGUUAUGAUAUGUAUUAUGUGUACGUCUGACUAAAGAGAUGAGUUUUUAAUCUACAUUUAAACUGGGAAAAUGUCUAUACCAAAGUACCAAAGCUAAAUAAGAAAACGCUCUACCACAUUUAGUAGACUUUGAUAUUCUGGGAACUACCAGAAGUUCUGAGUUUUGUGAUACAGUCUCAAAGAUAAUAGGAAGCCUGUCCCUGAAUACCUGUGUAAUUUUGGAAGCGAUCUAGAAGAAUGUUGUGAUCUAUAGUGUCGAAUGCAGCACUAAGGUCAAGUAGAACUAAUAGGGACAUACAGUCUUUGUCCGAAGCUAAGAACAAGUCGUUUAAAGAGAGUAUAAGGACAGACACAAUAUUUGAUAUGAUAUGAUAUGACAUGAUAUGUAGGUUUUCUACAAACUGAAAAAAGCUACAAAAACUGAAACUGUAGCUUUAAAAUGAAUGGAUGCUUUAAUUUAACAGUGCAGUUCUGUAAAAAUUUUAACAUUUUACACAUUUAACUUAAUCUUAACAUCUAUUUGGCUCAUUUUAAUCAGUGGUUUUAAAUGUGAUUUUUAAAAUGCUAUAAGGAGAUGAAUAUUUGUGAUUAUAUUAUACAGAGAAAUAUAAAUAAAGUCAGGAUCAUCUCAUCAUACUGGCCUAUAGCCUACUGUUUUAUUAAAUGGUUGUUUGGGAACAUUUCAUACCAUUAAUUUACUCUGUUAGAACAGGAAACCCGACUCAUUCUAUAUUUAUAACUUAAUGCUCUUGAAUGAAAACAGAAACACCGUUACUCAAAUCUGACAAAAUUAAAUGUUUACUUUUUCUCUGUGUACUUUCUUUGAAAGAGAGUGUAUAAGAAACAGAAAGUGCUUAGUGUAUUUUAUUCGUCUAAUCAUAGCAUGUGAAAUUCUGUGUGUACGAAGUAAUAGUUUUAUCUGUUACAGCUCAAAUAUGCCGUCUCCGUCUCCGAAUAACGGUUGGUCAAUGUCCAGCACAAUGAGCAAGAGGAUUUUUCCAAGAGACCGAACGGAAGACAGAGACCUGACACACAAUUCAAAUAUAAACAUGUUUUAUUCAAGUUUUGAAAGAAAUUUUUGCGGAUAUAGUGAGUUCUGUCACAGCUCUCUAGCUGACCAGUGAGUGGAUGAAGGCAGUUCAUUUAUAAGGAGG